rnacentral:rRNA from 1 species
CAAUAGCGUAUAUUAAAGUUGUUGCAGUUAAAAAGCUCGUAGUUGAAUUUCUGGCGGGCGCGCCGGUCUUCCAAGUGUUGUACUGGGCGCAGUCCGCCAUCCUUGUGGAGAGGGCUCGCAUUGAGUUGCGUGUCGGAUCUGCAUCAUUUACUGUGAAAAAAUUAGAGUGUUUAAAGCAGGCUGUCGCUUGAAUACAUUAGCAUGGAAUAAUAAGAUAGGACUUCGGUCUAUUUUGUUGGUUGCGAACCGAGGUAAUGAUUAAUAGGGAUAGUUGGGGGUAUUCAUAUUUAAUUGUCAGAGGUGAAAUUCUUGGAUUUAUGAAGGAUGAACAACUGCGAAAGCAUUUACCAAGGAUGUUUUCAUUAA